AGAGUUUGAUCCUGGCUCAGACUGAACGCUGGCGGCAUGCCUAACACAUGCAAGUCGAACGGCAGCGCGGGGGCAACCCUGGCGGCGAGUGGCGGACGGGUGAGGAAUACAUCGGAAUCUACCCUGUCGUGGGGGAUAACUAGCCGAAAGGUUAGCUAAUACCGCAUACGACCGAGAGGUGAAAGCGGAGGACUCGCAAGGGCUUCGCGCGAUUGGAUGAGCCGAUGUCGGAUUAGCUAGUUGGCGGGGUAAAGGCCCACCAAGGCGACGAUCCGUAGCUGGUCUGAGAGGAUGAUCAGCCACACUGGGACUGAGACACGGCCCAGACUCCUACGGGAGGCAGCAGUGGGGAAUAUUGGACAAUGGGCGCAAGCCUGAUCCAGCAAUGCCGCGUGUGUGAAGAAGGCCUUCGGGUUGUAAAGCACUUUUAUCAGGAACGAAAAGGUUUCGGUUAAUACCCGGGACUGCUGACGGUACCUGAGGAAUAAGCACCGGCUAACUUCGUGCCAGCAGCCGCGGUAAUACGAAGGGUGCAAGCGUUAGUCGGAAUUACUGGGCGUAAAGCGUGCGUAGGUGGUUUCUUAAGUCCGUUGUGAAAGCCCUGGGCUCAACCUGGGAACUGCAGUGGAUACUGAGAGGCUAAAGUGUGUCAGAGGAUGGUGGAAUUCCCGGUGUAGCGGUGAAAUGCGUAGAGAUCGGGAGGAACAUCAGUGGCGAAGGCGGCCAUCUGGGACAACACUGACGCUGAGGCACGAAAGCGUGGGGAGCAAACAGGAUUAGAUACCCUAGUAGUCC
rnacentral:rRNA from 1 species